CGGCAAUAGCUCAAAUUUGAAAUCUGGCUCUUUCAGGGUCCGAGUUGUAAUCUAUAGAAGUGUUUUCCGUGCUGGCUCAUGUACAAGUCCCUUGGAACAGGGCGUCAUAGAGGGUGAGAAUCCCGUCCUUGACAUGAACUACCAGUGCUCUGUGAUACAUUUUCAA
rnacentral:rRNA from 1 species